AAUCAUUAGAUGAAAACUCACG
rnacentral:miRNA from 1 species